AUUGAACGCUGGCGGCAUGCCGUACACAUGCAAGUCGAACGGCAGCAUAGGAGCUUGCUCCUGAUGGCGAGUGGCGAACGGGUGAGUAAUAUAUCGGAACGUGCCCUAGAGUGGGGGAUAACUAGUCGAAAGACUAGCUAAUACCGCAUACGAUCUACGGAUGAAAGUGGGGGAUCGCAAGACCUCAUGCUCCUGGAGCGGCCGAUAUCUGAUUAGCUAGUUGGUGGGGUAAAAGCUCACCAAGGCGACGAUCAGUAGCUGGUCUGAGAGGACGACCAGCCACACUGGGACUGAGACACGGCCCAGACUCCUACGGGAGGCAGCAGUGGGGAAUUUUGGACAAUGGGGGCAACCCUGAUCCAGCAAUGCCGCGUGAGUGAAGAAGGCCUUCGGGUUGUAAAGCUCUUUUGUCAGGGAAGAAACGGUUCUGGAUAAUACCUGGGACUAAUGACGGUACCUGAAGAAUAAGCACCGGCUAACUACGUGCCAGCAGCAGCCGCGG
rnacentral:rRNA from 1 species